AACGCACCUUGCGCCCUUUGGUAUUCCGAAGGGCAUGCCUGUUUGAGUGUCAUUAAAUUCUCAACUUCAACACUUUUUGUAUUGAAGCUUGGAUGUUGGAGGGUUUGCAGGCAUACAUUAAUGUCAGCUCCUCUUAAAUGCAUUAGCAGAACUUGUAUGUUCGGUUCUGGUUUGAUAAUCCUAUCUAUGCCAUUGCUGAAAUGUCAUUGUUCAGCUUCUAAUGGUCCAUGCUAUUGGACUGUCUCUUUUGUGGAGGCAUAUUUUUGACUUGACCUCAAAUCAGGUAGGACUACCCGCUGAACUUAA
rnacentral:misc_RNA from 1 species